rnacentral:rRNA from 1 species
UUCCAGACUCCUACGGGAGGCAGCAGUGAGGAAUAUUGGUCAAUGGCCGGAAGGCUGAACCAGCCAAGCCGCGUGAAGGACGAAGGUGCCAAGCAUUGUAAACUUCUUUUGUCAAGGGACAAAAUCAGGCUCGAGAGCCUGACCGAGGGUACUUGAAGAAAAAGCAUCGGCUAACUCCGUGCCAGCAGCCGCGGUAAUACGGAGGAUGCGAGCGUUAUCCGGAUUUAUUGGGUUUAAAGGGUGCGUAGGCGGGCUGUUAAGUCAGCGGUAAAAGCCCGGGGCUCAACCCCGGCGAGCCGUUGAAACUGGCUUGCUAGAGUGGGCGAGAAGUAUGCGGAAUGCGUGGUGUAGCGGUGAAAUGCAUAGAUAUCACGCAGAACUCCGAUUGCGAAGGCAGCAUACCGGCGCCCAACUGACGCUCAGGCACGAAAGCGUGGGUAUCGAACAGGAUUAGAUACCCCCGUAC